rnacentral:lncRNA from 10 species
CUACGUCACUGGGGCGCUACGGUGCCUGGAGCUGGGCGGUCUUCUCGUCAGAGUGGGGACUGGUGAGAGCGACCUCCCCGCCAGGUCCUGUGUGUUGCCGGCUGAAGAAGGGUAGCUGAAAAAUUCAGACCCAGCACAGUGUUUAUGUUGGUCAAAAAUAGAAAACUAUGGCGCGGCCGAGGCGGGAGGACCCUUCAGGCCAAGAGCAGCCUAGCAACAUGGCGCAACCCCAUCUCUGUAGUCCUACCUCAGCCCCCCAGCUACUUGAACCCAAAGAUUCAAGGCUCCAGUGAGCUAUGAUCCCACCACAGCAUUCCAGCCUGCGAGAUUGAGAUGAUGAUUAUUCCCCACCUUCUAAGAGACAAAGACCAACGAGCCACCACAGCCACCAGUCCCAGAACCCGCCAAUGCUGGGGAACGGAAAAUGAGGGAGUUCAACUCUGAGAAAUGGAAUAAUCGUAUCGCUGAUCUAUGUAAACAAAUUGAAGAAUUGUCUGAAAGAAAAUAUGACAUGAACUUAUGAAUUCAACAGGUGAAGAUUUACAACUUGAUAAAUCAGCUUUGUGAGCUCGAGCUGUAAAAGCCAAAGGUCCGGUGAUGAUCCCAUACCCUUUUUUCCAGUCUCAUGUUGAAGAUUUUUAUGUAGAAGGCCUUCCCAAAGGAAUUUUUUUUU